rnacentral:rRNA from 1 species
AAUGCAGUCGAACGGGGAGAGAGAGUAGCAAUACGAUCUCUUUCAGUGGCGCACGGGUGAGUAACACGUGAAUUACAUGCCCUUCAGUGGGGAUAGCCCAGGGAAACUUGGAUUAAUACCUCAUGGUCUCGCAAGAGUAAAGGCGGCGCAAGCUGUCGCUGAAGGAUUGGUUCGCGCCCUAUCAGCUAGUUGGUGAGGUAACGGCUCACCAAGGCAAUGACGGGUAGCCGGUCUGAGAGGACGAUCGGCCACACUGGAACUGAGACACGGUCCAGACACCUACGGGUGGCAGCAGUCGAGAAUAAUUCACAAUGGGGGCAACCCUGAUGGUGCAACGCCGCGUGGAGGAUGAAGGUCUUCGGAUUGUAAACUCCUGUCAUCCGAGAGUAAGACCUGACGGUGAAUAGCCGGCAGGGUUGAUAGUAUCGGAAGAGGAAGGGACGGCUAACUUCGUGCCAGCAGCCGCGGUAAUACGAAGGUCCCAAGCGUUGUUCGGAAUCACUGGGCGUAAAGGGUGCGUAGGCGGUUUGGUAAGUCAGAUGUGAAAUCCCGGGGCUCAACCCCGGAACUGCAUCCGAUACUGCCAGACUAGAGGACUGGAGAGGUGACUGGAAUUCUCGGUGUAGCAGUGAAAUGCGUGGAGAUCGAGAGGAACACUCGUGGCGAAAGCGAGUCACUGGACAGUAUCUGACGCUGAGGCACGAAAGCCAGGGGAGCGAAAGGGAUUAGAUACCCCUGUAGUCCUGGCAGUAAACGGUGUGCGCUUGGUGUGAGGGGAUUCGACCCCCCUGUGCG